AUUGAACGCUGGCGGCAUGCUUUACACAUGCAAGUCGAACGGCAGCGGGGUAGUUCUUGCACUACUGCCGGCGAGUGGCGAACGGGUGAGUAAUAUAUCGGAACGUACCGAGUAAUGGGGGAUAACCAAUCGAAAGAUUGGCUAAUACCGCAUACGUCCUGAGGGAGAAAGCGCGGGAUCGCAAGACCUCGCGUUAUUCGAGCGGCCCAUAACUGAUUAGCUAGUUGGUGGUGUAAAGGCAUACCAAGGCGACGAUCAGUAGCGGGUCUGAGAGGACGAACCGCCACACGGGGACUGAGAAACGGCCCAGACUCCUACGGGAGGCAGCAGUGGGGAAUUUUGGACAAGGGGGGAAAGGCUGAUCCAGGCAUGCCGCGUGUAGGAAGAAGGCCUUCGGGUUGUAAAGUAAUUUUGUUAGGGAAGAAAAGGGAAGUGCUAAUACCACUUGUUGAUGACGGUACCUAAAGAAUAAGCACCGGCUAACUACGUG
rnacentral:rRNA from 1 species